rnacentral:rRNA from 1 species
UACGGAGGGUGCAAGCGUUAUCCGGAUUCACUGGGUUUAAAGGGCGCGUAGGUGGGUAAGUAAGUCCGUGGUGAAAUCUCUGAGCUUAACUCAGAAACUGCCGUGGAUACUAUUUAUCUUGAAUAUUGUGGAGGUGAGCGGAAUAUGUCAUGUAGCGGUGAAAUGCUUAGAUAUGACAUAGAACACCAAUUGCUAAGGCAGCUCACUACACAAUUAUUGACGCUGAGGCACGAAAGCGUGGGGAUCGAACAGG